AGUGAACGCUGGCGGUAGGCCUAACACAUGCAAGUCGAACGGCAGCACAGUAAGAGCUUGCUCUUACGGGUGACGAGUGGCGGACGGGUGAGGAAUACAUCGGAAUCUACUUUUUCGUGGGGGAUAACGUAGGGAAACUUACGCUAAUACCGCAUACGACCUACGGGUGAAAGCAGGGGAUCUUCGGACCUUGCGCGAUUGAAUGAGCCGAUGUCGGAUUAGCCAGUUGGCGGGGUAAAGGCCCACCAAGGCGACGAUCCGUAGCUGGUCUGAGAGGAUGAUCAGCCACACUGGAACUGAGACACGGUCCAGACUCCUACGGGAGGCAGCAGUGGGGAAUAUUGGACAAUGGGCGCAAGCCUGAUCCAGCCAUACCGCGUGGGUGAAGAAGGCCUUCGGGUUGUAAAGCCCUUUUGUUGGGAAAGAAAAGCAGCAGGUUAAUACCCCGCUGUUCUGACGGUACCCAAAGAAUAAGCACCGGCUAACUUCGUG
rnacentral:rRNA from 1 species